GCUCCUUUACAUAACCAACAUCCGAAAACAAUGCCUCGGUGAUAGGCAACAAAGGUAAAACUUGAAUACCUAGCCUACACUCUCUCCAUUGAGCAGGCGCAAACCAUAGUCCACUAUCUCUCUUAUUAGACCAAACAACACUCACUACUUUGUUCUCUUUGGAAAAUUCUUCAGCAUAAAGUUUAUCUCCGCCUUUUAUAUGCCACCACAUUUGAGCUGCAUGAAUUUCAAGUGCUGCUAGUGUUGAUCCGGUCGCAAUAAGUUGUGUGUCGCCGUACGCCAUUCCCAUCAAUGCUGCAGCAUAGUAUGCAUUCACAGCUUCACUAGUACUCUCUUGAUUUCUUCCAUCUGCAAAUUCGAUUAGUCCUCCAGCCCAAGAAUGAAAUUUAUAAAGAUCGAAACACCUUAAACGUGUAUAAUUUGAGUUUGAUUUUCUUCCUAAGUUCAGGAAAUCUGCCAUGAGUGAAUAAGCUUGAGGUUUAUACUUUCUUCCCCAAGCUGGAUCAAUCUUUGCAAGCACUGCAAUUCCAUAGAGAAAGUAUCCUAAAUGAUAAUGAUGAUCAUUAUAAAUACCGAACCCAAAAUCUGCCCCUGAAUCUUGAGAGCCUUGUUUGGUAAUGAUUCCUCCCCAUUUUCCAUCAUAAAGAAAACCAUUUUCGUUAAAAGUUCCAUUCAACCAUGGCUCGAUCGUUUCCUUCAAGAACUUUUUGAUCGCUGGUAUGGAAUCGAGAUCAUUCACUUCUUCAGCUAUCAAUCCCAACCUUGCUGCCCUUGCUAUCAAUUUUCCAUAAAAAUAGCAAGAUGUUGUUGUCGUUAUUCCUAAGGAACUUAGAGCAUCCACAUCGCCAGAAAGUGCUGAACAAAUUUCAUCAUGAAAUUCUUCAUUGAUACCUUUGGUGGAAUGCCAUGUAACAGAAACAGGAUGAGUUUUCAAUAACCAUGAGUCUCCAACAACACCAACAAGCUCGCCGUCAAUGCUUUGAUACUUCAAAUCAUGAAGCACAGUUACAUCACAGUCACUUGCAGACAAAAGUUGAAGAUGAACUGGAUGAGCAAGCAUCAACAACUCUCCCCACCCUUUCUUCUCCCAUUUAUAUUCGACGCUGAAUGGAUUUGUGAAUGCUGCAUCACCAGAAGUAGGGUAACAAGAACUGAACCGGUUAAGGAUUACCUCGUACUUGGGAUCAGAAUCAGGUAAUACUGCCAUCCUUAUUAUGCCAGAAUAGCCUUCAGAGGUAAUCUCAGAAAGGCUAUUACUGAAACUUACCGGGGACGAUGUGUAAAUGAGCCAUGUUUGGCCAUUGUUGAGCUGCAAAUUGUGCUUGGUGAGGGAAUUAUUGGAUGAGAAUGAAAGGAUGGAAUGUAUGGUGGUGAUGGAAAGUGGCGUACGGUUGGUUACUGACACUGUCACAAAAGGGCUUCCUCUUACGAGGAAGAACCGCAGGUUAGACAAGGGAAUGUCCAAAGUGACACCGAGAUCACUGAAGGAAGAGAUCACAUGUUUUUCAUGUGAGUCUUGGUUUGUUUUCAUGGAGGUAGAAAUAGUGAUAUCAGGGUCGAAGACUUGAGCUAUGAAAGAAGCGUUGGAGGUGCAAGUAGGGUAGCAGAGGGAGAGGGAGAAGUUUGAGGAUUUGAUGAGGUAAGGGUGAAUGUACUCAGGUGUGUCACCAUUUUGUAGAACAAAAUUUUGGAAGAAAGAGUUUGUUGGGAGUGGCGAUGAGAGAAGAUUCGGAGAGAAGAAGUUUGAAGGGUCUGGGAGAAUAGUGGAGUGGACUUGAGGGA
rnacentral:lncRNA from 1 species